GCCCAGCACCGAAUCCUUCACCAUCUCGGUGACAGGAAAUGUGGUGUUUAGGCCGUACCUUGUCCCGACACGUCUCUCCUCAAGUCCACUUGNUUGUGGCCCCAGGCCCAGAGAGGGUGUAAGGCCCGUGGAGGCGAGACGUUCGGUACCUGGUGCGUCCUUAGAGUCGGGUUGUUUGGGAAUGCAGCCCUAAGCGGGUGGUAAACUCCAUCCAAGGCUAAAUACCAGCACGAGUCCGAUAGCGAAGAAGUACCGCGAGGGAAGGUUGAAAAGAACUUUGAAGAGAGAGUUCAAGAGUACGUGAAACCGCUGAGAGGCAAACUGGUGGAACUGAAAUGGUCCCGAGGAAUUCAGCCGUUGGUCGUUGCACAGUCUUUGGUGAUUGAUCUAACGACGGCGCCAUUGAAUGACGUUUCGAUCAUCGGUGCACUUUCCUCGCCUGGGCCCGACCACGACCGGUGAGCUGAUCUGUCUGUCGUGCUUGGAAGAUAGCGCCGUCUUCGGAAGGCGUGUUAUAGACAGGCAUACGGAGCAGUCGGCGCACUGGAUGAUAGUGCCUGCCCAUCUGGGCUCAUAUGGUGGUUGUUUUGUUGGCGAGUUCUGAUGUCACUACUUCGGUAGAGUCGUUAGACUCUGUUGGCAUUAUGGCUGUCCUCUAUGAUUGGCACUGUUAAGUCUGUGGUUGUGAAGUAGGUAGUCCACCUGACCCGUCUUGAAACACGGACCAAGGAGUCUAACAUGUGCGCGAGUCAUUGGGUUCACGAAACCUAAAGGCGCAGUGAAGGUAAAGAUCUGUUUUGGCAGAUUGAGGUGGGAUGCCGGGUUACGCGCCCGGCCGCACUACCGGCCCGUUCUAUAUGUCUUUCAUAGGAGCGGAGCAAGAGCGUACACGUUGGGACCCGAAAGAUGGUGAACUAUGCUUGCGCAGGUCGAAGCCAGAGAA
rnacentral:rRNA from 1 species